GGUCUCCCAAUGCUUACCACAGGUUGUGUUCUUUACACUGUAUUGAAAAAGGGGGUACAGUAAAUGCACCCCAUUACACCUCAACACAAGCACUUUGUCUGGACUGGACUGUGAAUGGGGGUACAAAA